rnacentral:rRNA from 1 species
AUGUCUCAUGACAUGGACUAUACCAGUCAGGCAAUCAAUGAACUAGCUGAGAAGAAGAAACAACUUGAGGAUCAGGCAAAGAUUGAGUUAAGUAUGGAAAAGCUGAAGCUUGCCAAGGAGCAAAUGUGCAUUCUUCAAAGCCAAGCAGAUAUCAUUCAGAACAUGAGGAACAUGAAGGAACUGGAGGGGGACAGGGACCUACUUAAGCAAGAGAAGAAGAAGUUGGAGUAUCUGAUUGCUGAUCUGCUCAAUGCUGGGCAUGCCAGCAAUGAUAAGCUGGAGAGGAUCAAGGCAAUUAUGAAUGAGUGA